rnacentral:rRNA from 1 species
UACGAAGGGGGCUAGCGUUGUUCGGAAUUACUGGGCGUAAAGCGCACGUAGGCGGACUAUUAAGUCAGGGGUGAAAUCCCGGGGCUCAACCCCGGAACUGCCUUUGAUACUGGUAGUCUCGAGUCCGGAAGAGGUGAGUGGAAUUCCGAGUGUAGAGGUGAAAUUCGUAGAUAUUCGGAGGAACACCAAUAGCGAAGGCAGCUCGCUGGGACGGUACUGACGCUAAGGCGCGAAAGCGUGGGGAGCGAACAGG